GACGAACGCUGGCGGCGUGCUUAACACAUGCAAGUCGAACGAAGAGCGAUGGAAGCUUGCUUCUAUCAAUCUUAGUGGCGAACGGGUGAGUAACGCGUAAUCAACCUGCCCUUCAGAGGGGGACAACAGUUGGAAACGACUGCUAAUACCGCAUACGAUCUAAUCUCGGCAUCGAGGAUAGAUGAAAGGUGGCCUCUACAUGUAAGCUAUCACUGAAGGAGGGGAUUGCGUCUGAUUAGCUAGUUGGAGGGGUAACGGCCCACCAAGGCGAUGAUCAGUAGCCGGUCUGAGAGGAUGAACGGCCACAUUGGGACUGGGACACGGCCCAGACUCCUACGGGAGGCAGCAGUGGGGAAUCUUCCGCAAUGGACGAAAGUCUGACGGAGCAACGCCGCGUGAGCGAUGACGGCCUUCGGGUUGUAAAGCUCUGUUAAUCGGGACGAAAGGCCUUCUUGCGAAUAGGGAGAAGGAUUGACGGUACCGGAAUAGAAAGCCACGGCUAACUACGUG
rnacentral:rRNA from 1 species